GAAAUUAUUCGACGUUCUACACUGAGGUUAUUCGUAGUUGCCUUGAAUUUUCAGCUCAACAGAUUCGACAGUGUUUUUUGAAUGGAACUUGCGGCGAAAUAUAGGAGGAUGGAAGCUCCAGUCUUCAUACAGCCAUCCUGAUUCUAGUUUUCGAUCGUCUCUCAAAAUUAAUUCAGGAAAUUUCGGAUGGUUCCUACUAUAUGGCCACAGCCACAGCCACUUGUUCCAUCCUUGUCAUACUAUAUCUUUUGCAGAGAUGGCGAGUUCACAGAUGAUGUCAUAGGACCCACUAGUGAGUUUAAACAUCCUCAGUCCAAAGCAUAAAUUACAAGCCUAAGUCCUUUUCUUGACAACACAAGCAAGACAAUUCUGCAGCCUACAGCUAUGUGUUGCUUUAGGCUAUAUCAACA